GUCAGAGCCUGCGCCACUUCGGUGUGGUGGGUGAUGGCGUGCCUUUUGAAGAAUGAGCCUGCGAGUUAGCGGCAUGUCGCGAGGUUAACCCGUGUGGGGUAGCCGUAGCGAAAGCGAGUCCGAAUAGGGCGUUUGUAGUGGGCAUGUUCUAGACCCGAAGCGGAGUGAUCUACCCAUGGCCAGUGAAGCGACGGUAAGACGUCGUGGAGGCCGAACCCACUUAGGUUGAAAACUGAGGGGAUGAGCUGUGGGUAGGGUGAAAGGCCAAUCAAAACUCCGUGAUAGCUGGUUCUCCCCGAAAUGCAUUUAGGUGCAGCGUCGCGUGUUUCACUCUGGAGGUAGAGCUACUGGAUGGCCGAUGGGCCCCACAAGGUUACUGACGUCAGCCAAACUCCGAAUGCCAGAGUGUGAGAGCGCGGCAGUGAGACUGCGGGGGAUAAGCUUCGUAGUCGAGAGGGAAACAGCCCAGAUCGCCGGCUAAGGCCCCUAAGCGUGUACUAAGUGGAAAGGAUGUGGGGUCGCGAAGACAACCAGGAGGUUGGCUUAGAAGCAGCCACCCUUGAAAGAGUGCGUAAUAGCUCAUGGUCAAGUGAUCCUGCGCCGACAAUGUAGCGGGGCUCAAGUACACCGCCGAAGCCGCGGCAUUCACAUAACACCCAUGCGGGUCUACGGGCCUGUGUGCAGUGGUGUGGAUGGGUAGGGGAGCGUCGUGCAGCCAUGGAAGCGCCGGAGUGAUCCAGGUGUGGAGGCUGCACGAGUGAGAAUGCAGGCAUGAGUAGCGAAAGACGAGUGAGAAACUCGUCCGCCGAAUGACCAAGGGUUCCUGGGCCAGGUUAAUCCGCCCAGGGUGAGUCGGGACCUAAGGCGAGGCCGACAGGCGUAGUCGAUGGACAACGGGUUGAUAUUCCCGUACCCGUGUGAACGCGCCCCUGGUGAAUCAGUGAUGCUAAGCGCCCUGAAGCCGCCUUCGAACCUUCGGGUUCUCCGGUGUGUGGAUGCGCGUGAACCGAUCUGGUAGUAGCCAAGCGAUGGGGUGACGCAGGAAGGUAGCUGAGCCAGUCAGUGGUAAUACUGGUGUAAGCGUGUAGGGCGUGACCUAGGCAAAUCCGGGUCACAUACAGCCUGAGACGUGAUGCGUAGCCGAUUGAGGCGAAUUCAGUGAUCCUAUGCUGCCGAGAAAAGCCUCUAGCGAGCUUUCACACGGCCCGUACCCCAAACCGACACAGGUGGUCAGGUAGAGAAUACUAAGGCGAUCGAGAUAACUGUGGUUAAGGAACUCGGCAAAAUGCCCCCGUAACUUCGGGAGAAGGGGGCCUCGUCUGGUGACGGAACUUGCUUCCUGAGCUGGGUGGGGCCGCAGAGACCAGAGAGAAGCGACUGUUUACUAAAAACACAGGUCCGUGCGAAGUCGUAAGACGAUGUAUACGGACUGACGCCUGCCCGGUGCUGGAAGGUUAAGAGGACCGGUUAGCCAGUAAUGGCGAAGCUGAGAAUUUAAGCCCCAGUAAACGGCGGUGGUAACUAUAACCAUCCUAAGGUAGCGAAAUUCCUUGUCGGGUAAGUUCCGACCUGCACGAAUGGCGUAACGACUUCUCUGCUGUCUCAACCACAGACUCGGCGAAAUUGCAUUACGAGUAAAGAUGCUCGUUACGCGCGGCAGGACGAAAAGACCCCGGGACCUUCACUAUAGCUUGGUAUUGGUGUUCGGUUCGGUUUGUGUAGGAUAGGUGGGAGACUGUGAAGCGGGCACGCCAGUGUUCGUGGAGUCGUUGUUGAAAUACCACUCUGAUCGUAUUGGACAUCUAACCUCGGACCAUGAUCUGGUUCAGGGACAGUGCCUGGUGGGUAGUUUAACUGGGGCGGUUGCCUCCCAAAAUGUAACGGAGGCGCCCAAAGGUUCCCUCAGCCUGGUUGGCAAUCAGGUGUCGAGUGCAAGUGCACAAGAGCUUGACUGUGAGACUGACAGGUCGAGCAGGGACGAAAGUCGGGACUAGUGAUCCGGCACCGGCAAGUGGAAGCGGUGUCGCUCAACGGAUAAAAGGUACCCCGGGGAUAACAGGCUGAUCUUCCCCAAGAGUCCAUAUCGACGGGAUGGUUUGGCACCUCGAUGUCGGCUCGUCGCAUCCUGGGGCUGGAGUAGGUCCCAAGGGUUGGGCUGUUCGCCCAUUAAAGCGGCACGCGAGCUGGGUUUAGAACGUCGUGAGACAGUUCGGUCUCUAUCCGCCGCGCGCGUUAGAAACUUGAGGAAGGCUGUCCCUAGUACGAGAGGACCGGGACGGACGAACCUCUGGUGUGCCAGUUGUUCCGCCAGGAGCACUGCUGGUUAGCUACGUUCGGAAGGGAUAACCGCUGAAAGCAUCUAAGCGGGAAGCCUGUUCCAAGAUGAGGUUUCUCACCCCCUCGAGGGGGUAAGGCCCCCGGCAGACCACCGGGUUGAUAGGCCAGAACUGGAAGCACAGUAAUGUGUGGAGGUGACUGGUACUAAUAGGCCGAGGACUUACCACAA
rnacentral:rRNA from 1 species